AGUGAACGCUGGCGGUAGGCCUAACACAUGCAAGUCGAACGGCAGCACAGGAGAGCUUGCUCUCUGGGUGGCGAGUGGCGGACGGGUGAGGAAUACAUCGGAAUCUACUUUUUCGUGGGGGAUAACGGAGGGAAACUUACGCUAAUACCGCAUACGACCUACGGGUGGAAGCAGGGGAUCUUCGGACCUUGCGCGAUUGAAUGAGCCGAUGUCGGAUUAGCUAGUUGGCGGGGUAAAGGCCCACCAAGGCGACGAUCCGUAGCUGGUCUGAGAGGAUGAUCAGCCACACUGGAACUGAGACACGGUCCAGACUCCUACGGGAGGCAGCAGUGGGGAAUAUUGGACAAUGGGCGCAAGCCUGAUCCAGCCAUACCGCGUGGGUGAAGAAGGCCUUCGGGUUGUAAAGCCCUUUUGUUGGGAAAGAAAUCCAGCUGGUUAAUACCCGGUUGGGAUGACGGUACCCAAAGAAUAAGCACCGGCUAACUUCGUGCCAGCAGCCGCCGUAA
rnacentral:rRNA from 1 species